GUUUAUUCUUCCUCCUUUUUUUGUCUUCCUGCUGCCCAGAAUGCAGAUGUGAAGACUGAAAUACCUGCAGUGUUCUUGGGCCUUGAAGUGCCAUUUUUCUCAAAAGACCACACCCUGUUAGGAGCAAUUAGCAGAUCAGACCUUCUCCACAGGCAGAGGGAAGCACAGGACUGGGACUGGCACAGCCUUCCUUGUACUGGAGUUAACUCUUGGUGCUACCACAUGGUUUUGUUAAAGACUGGGGAAUCCAGACACUGGGAGAUGUAUUUUAAUGAUUAUAAUUGCCUUAAGUGACUAAAUAAAAAAUUAUUACUUUUUAUAAACAUCCCCAACAUUUCACCUGUUCAUAAAGAUGAACAUUCUAAUCUAGCAAAUUAAUUUGUUUUGUGGCCUAGGGAUGCAUUUCGUAACUAAUCUUACAGCAGAGGCUUUCAAACUAUGUUCUGUGAAGUCGUCAGUGCCAGCCUUGAUGAAAAACAAGCCCUCUACGUCCCCUUCAGCCAGAAUGGUUCUGCUUCACCUGUAUUGGAGUUCAAGAUGAGAUUUUGUUUAAAAACAUGAGUAUCCUGUUUUUCCAAGGAAGAUUUUGAUCCUGCCUCAGAUAUUUCCAUGGUCUUUCCCCCUUGAGCAGGUGGAGAGACCUUCUGCUAAAUUAAUGAAUGUAAACUGGUCACAUGCCUUAACAUUCAUAAAAGGAUGUCACACUUUCUGACUGUAGCUGACUACUGUAAUUUAUGUUCUUACCCUUAAUGUACAGCAUAGAAUAUUUCUACUUCUCGGAAAUCUUUACAAUUCAUUACUUAUCAAAAAGCUCAAUAUCACUUAUGGAGAACUAUCUGAUGGAUACAUAGCCAUUUUCUCUUCUAAUUCAGUGUCAGCAAAUACUGUAUAUGGCACUGCUCUUGCUACUUACUAUCCUUUCCACGCCCCUGGGCAACUUCUUUAAUCCAUAACCCUUUCUUAUGCUGAGCCUAGACUCUUGCUCAAACAUGAUUCUACCCAACCAGUGCUUUGAGCAGCCAUUGGCAUCUCCUAGCAUUGGCAUGCAAUAUAAAAUCCAUUUGCUAUUUCACCUCUAGAUACUCUUAAAAGCCAAACUGUCA
rnacentral:lncRNA from 1 species